CCCAGCCCGGAGGCGGCCCGAGCCUUCGGAGACGCCCCACCCCUCCCCGGACUCGGACAGGCCCCCGAAACGCGCCUGGUGCGGUUGGAGGGACAACGUGACUGGAAGAGCGUCUGUUUAUAAGGCAGCGAGACGGAGGCAGAAAAUAGGCGCCUUGAGACGAACGUGUUCGGGGGGACCCGGUGUGUCAUAAACGGAAGUGAAGGCACGUCACCUCCCAUUUACUCACACAAGAGCGGGAUGUUUCUGUGAUUUUGUCUCUCAGAUUCUUUCAGAAAAUAAAUUAUUCUCAUGAGGCAA